rnacentral:rRNA from 1 species
AGUUUGACUCCUGGCUCGAGAACGAACGCUGGCGGCAGGCCUAACACAUGCAAGUCGAACGCCCUAGCAAUAGGGAGUGGCGCACGGGUGCGUAACGCGUGGGAAUAUGCCCUUCACUGCGAAAUAACGUUUGGAAACGAACGCUAAUACCGCAUAAUGACUCCGGUCCAAAGAUUUAUCGGUGAAGGAUUAGCCCGCGUUAGAUUAGCUAGUUGGUGAGGUAAUGGCUCACCAAGGCGACGAUCUAUAGCUGGUCUGAGAGGAUGAUCAGCCACACUGGGACUGAGACACGGCCCAGACUCCUACGGGAGGCAGCAGUGGGGAAUAUUGGACAAUGGGCGAAAGCCUGAUCCAGCAAUGCCGCGUGAGUGAUGAAGGCCUUAGGGUUGUAAAGCUCUUUUACCCGGGAUGAUAAUGACAGUACCGGGAGAAUAAGCCCCGGCUAACUCCGUG